AUUGAACGCUGGCGGCAUGCCUUACACAUGCAAGUCGAACGGUAACAGGUCUUCGGAUGCUGACGAGUGGCGAACGGGUGAGUAAUACAUCGGAACGUGCCUAGUAGUGGGGGAUAACUACUCGAAAGAGUGGCUAAUACCGCAUGAGAUCUACGGAUGAAAGCAGGGGAUCGCAAGACCUUGUGCUACUAGAGCGGCCGAUGGCAGAUUAGGUAGUUGGUGGGAUAAAAGCUUACCAAGCCGACGAUCUGUAGCUGGUCUGAGAGGACGAUCAGCAACACUGGGACUGGGACACAGCCCAGACUCCUACGGGAGGCAGCAGUGGGGAAUUUUGGACAAUGGGCGAAAGCCUGAUCCAGCAAUGCCGCGUGCAGGAUGAAGGCCUUCGGGUUGUAAACUGCUUUUGUACGGAACGAAAAGCCCCGGGUUAAUACCCUGGGGUCAUGACGGUACCGUAAGAAUAAGCACCGGCUAACUACGUGCCAGCCGCCGCCGUAA
rnacentral:rRNA from 1 species